rnacentral:rRNA from 1 species
UACAGAGACUGCAAGCGUUAUUCGGAUUCACUGGGCGUAAAGGGUGCGCAGGCGGUUGGGUGUGUCAGAUGUGAAAUCCCGAGGCUUAACCUCGGAACUGCGUCUGAAACUACUCGACUAGAGUACUGGAGAGGGAAACGGAAUUCACGGUGUAGCAGUGAAAUGCGUAGAUAUCGUGAGGAACACCAGAGGCGAAGGCGGUUUCCUGGACAGUUACUGACGCUCAGGCACGAAAGCAUGGGGAGCAAAAGGG